AAGUACAAUCAAGAAGAAAUUGAAAAACAGUCAGAGUUAGAUGAUGAGCUUCAUCGUUUGUCAUGCAGGAUUUUUAUCCCCUGAAGAACCUGCUAGAGAAGUCCACCUUCACCCUUAACCACUGGUGCCUCAACUUAAUACUUUUAAAAUUCAUUUGUUUCUGUUGGAAUUGGGAUACUAAGGUCCAGAGGUGUCCUUCUAAAGCUGGUAGAGGUUUCACGAGUCAUCAGGGACCCAGAACCCUUCUCUUUUGCUGUCCCUUUGUCCUAGUGCAUGGUUUCCACACUGUGGUGCAAGAUGUCUCCUCAAGCUCUAGGCAUUACAUCUGCUAUCCUGCUGUCAGAAAGAAGGAAGGGGAAAAGAAGAUCAUUUCCUUCUCUUUAAGGACAUUUCCCAGAAGUCACACAGAACAUUUCCAUUUAUAUUACUUUGGCCAGAACUUGGUCAUAUGGCCACAUUUAGUUCCAGAAUGAUUAGGAAAUGCAGUCUUUUAUUGAUCCCUGUGCCCAGGAAAAUAUUGGAGGCCUUUUUCAAGGAAAAAGGGGAAAACAGAUAUUGGUUGACAAAUAGCAGUCUCUGCCAUACUGUCCCUGGAUACAUGUCUUUGAGUGAAUGUCCCUUAUUUACCAUUCUGAUUACUUGUUGGAUAUUUUCAAUAUGUGUUACAAUAUGGUUCCAAAAUUGUAUGUGAUAUUCCAACAGCAAGUUGGAUGCAAUGUGUCAUAAAAAUGACCUCAGUGUCAACCAGCAUUUGAAUACCGUGUCUCAAUGCUGUGCACCAAUAAAGAACACAGA
rnacentral:lncRNA from 1 species